rnacentral:rRNA from 1 species
AUUGAACGCUGGCGGCAGGCCUAACACAUGCAAGUCGAGCGAGUGGCGGACGGGUGAGUAAUGUAUGGGGAACUGCCUGAUAGAGGGGGAUAACUACUGGAAACGGUGGCUAAUACCGCAUACUAUCGGAUGUACCCAUAUGGGAUUAGCUAGUAGGUGGGGUAACGGCUCACCAAGGCGACGAUCCCUAGCUGGUCUGAGAGGAUGAUCAGCCACACUGGGACUGAGACACGGCCCAGACGCCUACGGGAGGCAGCAGUGGGGAAUAUUGCACAAUGGGCGCAAGCCUGAUGCAGCCAUGCCGCGUGUAUGAAGAAGGCCUUAGGGUUGUAAAGUACUUUCAGCGGGGAGGCGUUACCCGCAGAAGAAGCACCGGCUAACUCCGUGCCAGCAGCCGCGGUAAUUC